rnacentral:lncRNA from 13 species
AUUGUUUCUGAAGCACAAUACAUUUGUGUCUGACACCAGAGGGGGGGAUGGAGGGAGUAUAACUUCGCCAGUUUGAGGGGGGGAUGUAACAGUAUAACUUUACACCGUCCCCUCGCCCAUACCCGGGCACGAACCAGGGACCCUCUGCACACAUCAACAACAGUCACCCACGAAGCAUCGUUACCCAUUGCUCCACAAAAGCCGCGGCCCUUGCAGAGCAAGGGGAACUACUACUUCAAGGUCUCAGAGCAAGUGAAGUCACCGAUCGAAACGCUAUUUAGCGCGCACCACCGCUAACUAAGCUAGCCGUUUCACAUCCGUUACAGAGNNNNNNNNNNUGAUUAGUAAUUAGAGGACGCUGUCUGUUUCUAAUCAGCCCGCUACAUUUAGAAAUGUUUUAGUUUUUUAAAUGUUAAACUUUGCCUCUCCCAGCCGAGUGAUAUCAAUGAAAACACGUGGUUCCAGUUUCCACAAUUGACUGGUGUGUACAGUAGAAUGUCAAAGGGAACCCACUUUGUUCUGCAUUCCUGUUGAAGUUCAACACCUUCCACUCAGUGCUGUCGGAUGAACACAUCCCAAAUGGCACCCUAUUCCCUAUAUAGUGCACUACUCUUGACCAGAGCCCAUGUCGUGUACUGCAUAGGGNNNNNNNNNNUACCCACCCAGAUUAUACCCGGGGAGUUUACCCACCCAGAUUAUACCCGGGGAGUUUACCCACACAGAUUAUACCAGGUGAAGUGGUGAUGGAUGACCCCUUGGGCUGGAGGUUGGGUGGAGGUGGAGAGGGCCCUAGAGCAGGCCCGUGUGAGGGGGGUCCCUUGCACUGACAGAGCUCAUCAGUAGCUGGUCUCUGAUGCUCUGCAGGUGGCCACACACAGUACCUGAGGAACUAAAGGCAUUGACACGCCAUAGUGACUGUCGGCCGUGUGCAGUACAGUAGAUCACCUACUGGAUGGUGACUAACUGCGGUCGAUUCAACAUGUCAAAUCUUUGGGAAAUGAACAAACAAUGACUGUUGCUGUUGUCUGGUCAGAAGCCAUGGAAUCGUCCACCGGCAGCAGUAUUGACCCAGCACAGCACUGAAGCCACCGUGAUGCGUCCAACGGACCUCCUGCUGUUGCCUAUGACGAUCACCACUUGAAACUGGAAAUUGACAUUUUUAUAAUUGAUUAUUUUAAUCGGAUGUUUACACUGAGUGACGGGAAGGACAUUUAUAUUGCAGCAAUUGUAUGUAUUUUAUCUGGGGAGUUAAAUAAUUGUUUUACCUAUGUUUUAUUAGUUAAUUUGGCCAUAUCAGAUCAUAAUGUUCUUGCCUGAAUUUAAAAAAAUUAAAUGUGUAAACACACCGUACAAACUCUUGACUGAAAUGUUCCAUUCCCUAGUUAACCACACAGUGGCGCUACUGAGACUCCUUGAACUACAAUAAAUCUCAUUCAUUUAUACCCUAUGUAUUAUCCAGGCAAUGAAGUGACAGAGCAUUUGUCAUUCCUAAGAAACAUUUCCUGGAGCUGUAAAUUGAGUGUCUUGGAUAAUCCAUGAGUGCUGUACAGUGGUGGCUGGUAGCACUUUAAAUGGGGAGGACACGGAUCAUAGUGAUGGAUGAAAAGGAAUGAAUGUAUUUUGUUUGAUACCAUUCCGUUCACUCCAUUCCAGACAUUAUUAUGAGGCGCCCUCCUCUCACCAGCCUCCUCUGGUGCUGUUUCACCACCAGCCUGCCUGGCCCCAGUGGACACUGCGUUAUAUCAUCUCCAGUUCUACAUGUUAAAUCAUUACCACUAGUUGUAUAACCCUUUAAAGAGGUCUAUGCCGUGAGUGGACAAGAUCAGAGAAUUAACCAUACCUAGAAAUCAACUGACCCACAGAGGUUAGAUGGGGGGCAGAGUGAUACAAUUACAGAGACGUUGAGACUUUGAUUUUCAAGUCUCAUGUGUGUUCCAAGCAGAACU